GACGAACGCUGGCGGCGUGCCUAAUACAUGCAAGUCGAACGCAGUGGGGACGGGUGAGUAACACGUGGGUAACCUGCCCAUCAGAGGGGAUAACACUUGGAAACAGGUGCUAAACCGAUACUGAUGGAUGGAGCCGCGGUGCAUUAGCUAGUGGGUGAGGUAACGGCUCAACAAGGCCACGAUGCAUAGCCGACCGGCGAGGGUGAUCGGCCACACUGGGACUGAGACACGGCCCAGAAUCCUACGGGAGGCAGCAGUAGGGAAUCUUAGGCAAUGGACGAAAGUCUGACCGAGCAACGCCGCGUGAUUGAAGAAGGUUUUCGGAUCGUAAAACUCUGUUGUUAGAGAAGCGGUAUCUAACCAGAAAGCCACGGCUAACUACGUGCCAGCCGCCGCGGUAAUAC
rnacentral:rRNA from 1 species